CCUACGGGUGGCAGCAGUAGGGAAUCUUUCACAAUGGGCGAAAGCCUGAUGGAGCACCGCCGCGUGCAGGAUGAAGGCCUUCGGGUUGUAAACUGCUUUUAUAAGCGAGAAAUAUGAUGGUAACUUAUGAAUAAGGAUCGGCUAACUACGUGCCAGCAGCCGCGGUCAUACGUAGGAUCCGAGCAUUAUCCGGAGUGACUGGGUGUAAAGAGUUGCGUAGGUGGCAUAAUAAGUAGCUAGUGAAAUCUGGUGGCUCAACCAUUCAGACUAUUAGCUAAACUGUUAAGCUCGAGACCGUUAGGGGUAACUGGAAUUUCUAGUGUAGGAGUGAAAUCCGUAGAUAUUAGAAGGAACACCAAUAGCGUAGGCAGGUUGCUGGGACGGUUCUGACACUAAGGCACGAAAGCGUGGGGAGCAAACAGGAUUAGAUACCCCGGUAGUC
rnacentral:rRNA from 1 species